AGAGUUUGAUCCUGGCUCAGGACGAACGCUGGCGGCGUGCCUAAUGCAUGCAAGUCGCACGCGCCGCCUUCGGGCGGUGAGUGGCGCACGGCUGAGGAUCACGUGGGAACAUGCCUCUUGGUGGGGGACAACAGCGCGAAAGCGCUGCUAAUCCCGCAUACGCUCGGCAACGAGGAAAGCCGUACGGCGCCGAGAGAGUGGCCCGCGGCCCAUCAGGUAGUCGGUGGGGUAAUGGCCUACCGAGCCGAUGACGGGUAGCUGGUCUGUGAGGACAGACAGCCAGACUGGGACUGAGACACGGCCCAGACUCCUACGGGAGGCAGCAGCAAGGAAUUUUCGUCAAUGGGCGCAAGCCUGAACGAGCAACGCCGCGUGGAGGAUGACGGCCUUCGGGUUGUAAACUCCUUUUGGGGGGGACGAUGAUGACGGUACCCCUUGAAUAAGGCUCGGCUAACUCUGUGCCAGCAGCCGCGGUAAUACAGAGGAGCCAAGCGUUGUCCGGAUUGACUGGGCGUAAAGCGCACGCAGGCGGUCUGGCGCGUGGGGUGUGAAAUCUGGCCGCUUAACGGCCAGGCGCCAUCCCAUACGGCCGGACUGGAGGGCUGCAGAGGUCGAUGGAAUUGCCGGUGUAGUGGUGAAAUGCGUAGAGAUCGGCAGGAACACCCAGGGGGAAACCAGUCGACUGGGCAGCACCUGACGCUGAGGUGCGAGAGCGUGGGGAGCGAACCGGAUUAGAUACCCCCGUAGUCC
rnacentral:rRNA from 1 species